CUCGUUGGCCCGACCUCCCACCCCUUGUUUAAUUAUACCAUUUGUUGCUUCGGCGGGCCGGUCUACCCAGACCGCCGGAGGGUGCACACCGCCCCUCUGGAGAGUUUUGCCCGCCGAUGGCCCCCUUCAAAAAUCUUGAACCCAACCGUGACGCCUAAAUUGAUUUAUUGUACAAUGUACAAAAAACAAAACUUUCAACAACGGAUCUCUUGGUUCCGGCAUCGAUGAAGAACGCAGCGAAAUGCGAUAAGUAAUGCGAAUUGCAGAAUUUCCGUGAGUCAUCGAAUCUUUGAACGCACAUUGCGCCCUUUGGUAUUCCGAAGGGCAUGCCUGUUCGAGCGUCAUUAUCCCCCCUCAAACCUCGGGUUUGGUGUUGGACCGACGUUGGUCGUUACCCCGACCAACUGGUCUCAAAGACAAUGACGGCGUCCGUGGGACCCUCGAUACACCGAGCUUUCUUUUCGAAGCACGUACCGAGUUGCAAGGACCCACGCCCGCCGGUCGCUCUCCCCUUCUCGGAGAAACGCAAGUUUUUUCACAAGGUUGACCUCGGAUCAGGUAGGAAUACCCGCUGAACUUAAGCAUAUCU
rnacentral:rRNA from 1 species